rnacentral:rRNA from 1 species
GUAGGUGGCAAGCGUGUCCGGAAUUAUUGGGCGUAAAGCGCGCGCAGGUGGUCCUUUAAGGUCUGAUGUGAAAGACCCCCGGGCUCAACCGGGGAGGGUCAUUGGAAACUGGGGAACUUGAGUGCAGGAGAGGAAAGUGGAAUUCCACGUGUAGCGGUGAAAUGCGUAGAUAUGUGGAGGAACACCAGUGGCGAAGGCGACUUUCUGGCCUGUAACUGACACUGAGGCGCGAAAGCGUGGGGAGCAAACAGGAUUAGAUACCCUGGUAGUCCACGCCGUAAACGAUGAGUGCUAAGUGUUGGGGGGUUUCCGCCCCUCAGUGCUGCAGCUAACGCAUUAAGCACUCCGCCUGGGGAGUACGGUCGCAAAGACUG